GAUAAGAAAACAAGUGCUCUACUGAGAAACGUAUACCUCAAAGGGAAGUAAGAAAAGGGGGGAAGUAGGCUACCCGUAAAUAGAGUGUCUGUCUGUGGGCAAGACCGAGAGAGAGAAAGAGAUAGAGAGAAAGAGAGCCCAAUCUGAUCUAAUAGAGGAACUUUGAAGAUAGAGAGCAUAUAGAACGCAGCGUGGUCAUUAAACAACUAACAGACAGGAGCCUUUAAACUUAAUCAAAAUAAACGAGGUAAAGAUGAAGCAUACAUUUAAAUGUGAUGAGGGCAUGCUCAUAACGAUCCCAUUGGGGGCUCUGAAGGACGGCCAGGAGGGGGAGCUGAUGCCAGACCAAUUCCUCUGUGUGUUUAGAGAUGUCUACAAGGUGUUCAUUACUAAGGGAAAACCAAAGAGAGUCGGGGUAGCCCAAGCUAUUGUUGGUUUAUUUGUGCUGAGCCUUGCUCUAGUCAAUAGCCCCAUUUCGGGGCCCAUUUAUCACACCCAUUUCGGGUGUGAUAUCUUGCCGUACUUUAAUAUUCUGUUCAUGGUCUCUGGAAUGCUGACCUUUGCUGCAGGCUGUUCUCCAAACAUGCAUGUGGCAAAACUAUCAUUUAUUUGUAACAUCAUCAGCUUCCUCUGGUCUCUUGCGGCAAUCAUGCUCCAAAUAAUAGUGUUACAAGGGAACUACCAGGUGACGCAUGGACUUACAGUUGCCUUCCUGGGGGUUGAAAUGGGGAUAACCUUAUUCUUAAUCUACUGGUUCAGUCAAUGCGUAUGUAGACAACAUUUUAACGCUCUGCCUGUUGUGCGGCUUCAGGUUUAGCUUUGUGGAAGACUGGGCAAAACCUGUCAAUCUACACCGCUUUCUAUUUGGGAAUGAUCUAAAACCAGCUUUACCUUGAAGUUUGUUUUUGUUGUUUGAGUUGUGCAACUUGCAAUGAACGGUGUGUAUUUUUGUAAAAUGUAUGUAGGCCUAUGUACAUUGAUGGUAAAACGUAAGGUGUACUCGCCAUAUAGCUCUAUCUGUGUAAUAUCCCAACAAAUCUCAAAUCAAAUAUCAUAUCUCAAGCUUAAAUCUGGUUAUUUGGGCAAAUGUUUCUUGUGCUUUGACUUUGAACAAUAGCUCUUUAUUUUAUUAUUAUUCCCAUAGAGAUAGUGCACCUAACUGUUAAUGUAAAUGUAAUAAAUGCAUAAAAUACUGCAGAAUAAAAUAAAAAUUUGUAAGAUAUGACCUGGACAUUUUUUAUUGUUCAUAUUGUGUAAUGAUAUGGGUUAACUAGGGCUUUAGGAACCUUUGCUUCCACAGAGGGGUUGGACGGUUAGAGACUGCACUACUCAUUCAGCCCAUGUGGACGCUGGGACAGGGAAUUGUCUAGGCAUAUUUAAUUUCUUCAUCAAAUAAAUCCGGUUUUAAACUAUUAAGAAAAAAGUUGCACGACGAUGUUUAAGUAAUAGGGUUUGGAUAAUUGGCAUAAGCUGCAAUACGUAGUUAAAAAACAAAUAAAAAACCCUUGAGCAUCAGAAUGUACUGAACCACAUGAUGUCGUAUCAACUGAUAUA